rnacentral:rRNA from 1 species
UACGUAGGGUGCGAGCGUUAAUCGGAAUUACUGGGCGUAAAGUGUGCGCAGGCGGCCGCGCAAGUCGAGUGUGAAAGCCCCGAGCUUAACUUGGGAACUGCGCUCGAAACUACGUGGCUGGAGUGUGGCAGAGGAAGGUGGAAUUCCAGGUGUAGCGGUGAAAUGCGUAGAGAUCUGGAGGAACACCGAUGGCGAAGGCAGCCCC